rnacentral:rRNA from 1 species
CCCGGGCGACCGGCGCACAGGUGAGUAACGCGUAUGCAACCUGGCCGCCACAGGGGGAUAACCCGCGGAAACGCGGCCUAAUACCCCGUGACGCCACCGGAGGGCAUCCUCCGGUGGCCAAAGGAGCGAUCCGGUGGCGGAUGGGCAUGCGGCGCAUUAGCUAGACGGCGGGGUGACGGCCCACCGUGGCGACGAUGCGUAGGGGUUCUGAGAGGAAGGCCCCCCACACUGGGACUGAGACACGGCCCAGACUCCUACGGAAGGCAGCAG